rnacentral:lncRNA from 10 species
GGCGGGGAAAUGAGACGCUCUGUUUUCCAGGCAGCCUGGGCUGGUGGCAGGAAGAGCUCUGGCGAGAGAUGAAUAGGACUUGGCCCAGCCAUGCGCUCGGUGACGGGCGUGAGAGUUCAUUUGCUGCUUGAAGAUUUAGUUCCCAAUUAAUAAGUGGAGAGCCAGCCUGGUGCCUCAGGAGGUGUUCCGGGCUGAACUGUGUCCGCCACCCCCGCCCCAGCCCCCACCUUCUCCAAAAAGUCUAUGUUAGGGUCCUAACCUCGGCACCUCCAAAUGUGACUGUGUUUGGGGAUGGGGCCUUCAAAGAGGUGAUUAAAGUAAAAUGAGCUCAUACGGUCGGGUCAUAAUCCAAUCUGACUGGUGUCCUUCUAAGAGGAGAUUAAGACACAGACACGCGCAGAGGGAAGACCACGUGAAGAUGGGGGAAGACAGCUGUCUGCAAGUCAAAGAGAGAGGCCUCAGAGGAAACCAGCCCUGCUGACACCUUGGUCUUGGACUUCUAGCUCCUGUAUUGUGAGAAACACAUUUCUGUUGUUUAAGUGCCCUAGUCUAGGAUGCUUGGUGCUGACAGCCCUGGAUAACUAACACUAAAGGGUCUUGGGCGGUUCCAGGAUCCAUGGACACUGCUCAGCCUUGUUUGACUAUGUUUUUGUCAUUAGAAGCAGCGCUGUCUGCGGGAAGGUGCCUUUCCUGCCCAGACUACUGAAGGAGACUGCCAGUACAAGAGGCUUUCACUCCCCUUGAGGGUUUGCAGGCAGGAGAAAAGAGUGACAAAGUUUUUUCUUCCUCCUCUGUUCUAUGCUCCCCGCUGAUACCUCUGGUAGAGCAUUCACCUACUGGGCUGUAGCCUGUUGGGUGCAUUUUCCCCCUAAUACCACAGGCUCUCAAUUUCCAGCACAAAGCUCAGGACACCAGGAAACAUCUGGUGAUGGAAGGCUGAGGUCAUAAAGGACAGCAAUAUCCCAGCCCACAGCAGGGUCCCCACACCUGCUGUACUGCAUUCACUCGGUAGUGACUCCAUUUCAAAAGGGGCCUCUCAUGGGGUGGCCAUGAGGAGCUGGAGCUUGUGAGCCCCUUAAAAUGAAGGCAAAGUCAUAUACUUCACGUCUGCCCAUUGCAAGAGUUCAUCAAGAAAGACAGCACUGGUGUGUAUUA